UACGUAGGGGGCAAGCGUUGUCCGGAAUCAUUGGGCGUAAAGAGCGUGUAGGCGGCCCGGUAAGUCCGCUGUGAAAGUCCAGGGCUCAACCCUGGAAUGCCGGUGGAAACUGUCGGGCUAGAGUCCGGAAGAGGCGAGUGGAAUUCCUGGUGUAGCGGUGAAAAUGCGUAGAGAUCGGAAAGAACACCAACGGCGAAAGCAACUCUGCUGGGCCGACACUGACACUGAGAGACGAAAGCUAGGGGAGCGAAUGGG
rnacentral:rRNA from 1 species